rnacentral:rRNA from 1 species
GGAUCCAGACUUGAUCAUGGCUCAGGAUGAACGCUAGCGGCAGGCUUAACACAUGCAAGUCGAGGGGCAGCGCGGGGCGGCAACGUCCUGGCGGCGACCGGCGGAAGGGUGCGUAACGCGUGAGCGACAUGCCCGUUGCCCGGGGACAACCGGUGGAAACGCCGACUAAUCCCCGAUGGGACGGAGGCCCUCAUGGGUCUCUGUUGAAAGUUACGGCGGCGACGGAUUGGCUCGCGUCCGAUUAGCUUGUUGGCGGGGUAACGGCCCACCAAGGCUACGAUCGGUAGGGGUUCUGAGAGGAAGGUCCCCCACAAUGGAACUGAGACACGGUCCAUACUCCUACGGGAGGCAGCAGUGAGGAAUAUUGGUCAAUGGGCGGAAGCCUGAACCAGCCAUGCCGCGUGCGGGAAGGAGGCCCUAUGGGCUGUGAACCGCUUUUGCCUGGGGGCAAUAAGGGCGUCGCGCACGUCCGAUGAGAGUACCAGGGGAAUAAGCAUCGGCUAACUCCGUGCCAGCAGCCGCGGUAAUACGGGGGAUGCGAGCGUUAUCCGGAUUCAUUGGGUUUAAAGGGUGCGUAGGCUGUGCGUCAAGUCAGGGGUGAAAUUCCGGGGCUCAACUCCGGGGCUGCCCUUGAUACUGUCGCGCUGGAGUGCGGAUGCCGCCGGAGGAAUGAGUGGUGUAGCGGUGAAAUGCUUAGAUAUCACUCAGAACACCGAUUGCGAAGGCAUCUGGCGAAUCCGUAACUGACGCUGAGGCACGAAAGCGUGGGGAUAGAACAGGAUUAGAUACCCUGGUAUUCCACGCCGUAAACGAUGAUGGCUAACCGCUGGCGACAUACUGUCGGUGGCCAAGCGAAAGCGAUAAGCCAUCCACCUGGGGAGUACGUCGG